rnacentral:rRNA from 1 species
UACGGGGGGAGCAAGCGUUGUCCGGAAUUACUGGGCGUAAAGAGCUCGUAGGUGGUUUGUCGCGUUGUUCGUGAAAACUCACAGCUUAACUGUGGGCGUGCGGGCGAUACGGGCAGACUGGAGUACUGCAGGGGAGACUGGAAUUCCUGGUGUAGCGGUGGAAUGCGCAGAUAUCAGGAGGAACACCGGUGGCGAAGGCGGGUCUCUGGGCAGUAACUGACGCUGAGGAGCGAAAGCGUGGGGAGCGAACAGG